rnacentral:rRNA from 1 species
AUGAUGGAUGAAAGAUGGAUAUCAAGUCCUUGGCCCAGUUUCAAGCCAAUGACAAAUAUGAUCCACAUCGACGAGAAAUGGUAUGACAUGACCCGAGUGAAGAAUAGCUACUACGUACUGCCUGGAGAGGAAGAACCAAAUCAAACAGUGCACAAUACUCAUAGCAUUGGGAAGACCGAGGCACAACGAACAAGCCAGAACAGAGAUAGGGGGACAAUAGAGUUGAAGCCGGUCAAAGUUACUAGACCUGUGUGCAGAGAUUACCUGAUCAAUAAAGUAAUCCCUGCCAUUCAAGACAAAUGGCCUGACGGUGACGAGGACACAACGAUCUACAUUCAACAAGAUAAUGCAACACCGCAUGUCCUCCCUAAUGAUGGUGAAAGUGAUGAAAGAUCAAGGAGGAAACAACUACAAGAUGCCGCAUCUGCAUAA